AUCCAGUAGUGGGAGUAAUGGUUUA
rnacentral:misc_RNA from 1 species